rnacentral:rRNA from 3 species
GCUUCUCUGAUGUUAGCGGCGGACGGGUGAGUAACACGUGGAUAACCUACCUAUAAGACUGGGAUAACUUCGGGAAACCGGAGCUAAUACCGGAUAAUAUUUUGAACCGCAUGGUUCAAAAGUGAAAGACGGUCUUGCUGUCACUUAUAGAUGGAUCCGCGCUGCAUUAGCUAGUUGGUAAGGUAACGGCUUACCAAGGCAACGAUGCAUAGCCGACCUGAGAGGGUGAUCGGCCACACUGGAACUGAGACACGGUCCAGACUCCUACGGGAGGCAGCAGUAGGGAAUCUUCCGCAAUGGGCGAAAGCCUGACGGAGCAACGCCGCGUGAGUGAUGAAGGUCUUCGGAUCGUAAAACUCUGUUAUUAGGGAAGAACAUAUGUGUAAGUAACUGUGCACAUCUUGACGGUACCUAAUCAGAAAGCCACGGCUAACUACGUGCCAGCAGCCGCGGUAAUACGUAGGUGGCAAGCGUUAUCCGGAAUUAUUGGGCGUAAAGCGCGCGUAGGCGGUUUUUUAAGUCUGAUGUGAAAGCCCACGGCUCAACCGUGGAGGGUCAUUGGAAACUGGAAAACUUGAGUGCAGAAGAGGAAAGUGGAAUUCCAUGUGUAGCGGUGAAAUGCGCAGAGAUAUGGAGGAACACCAGUGGCGAAGGCGACUUUCUGGUCUGUAACUGACGCUGAUGUGCGAAAGCGUGGGGAUCAAACAGGAUUAGAUACCCUGGUAGUCCACGCCGUAAACGAUGAGUGCUAAGUGUUAGGGGGUUUCCGCCCCUUAGUGCUGCAGCUAACGCAUUAAGCACUCCGCCUGGGGAGUACGACCGCAAGGUUGAAACUCAAAGGAAUUGACGGGGACCCGCACAAGCGGUGGAGCAUGUGGUUUAAUUCGAAGCAACGCGAAGAACCUUACCAAAUCUUGACAUCCUUUGACAACUCUAGAGAUAGAGCCUUCCCCUUCGGGGGACAAAGUGACAGGUGGUGCAUGGUUGUCGUCAGCUCGUGUCGUGAGAUGUUGGGUUAAGUCCCGCAACGAGCGCAACCCUUAAGCUUAGUUGCCAUCAUUAAGUUGGGCACUCUAAGUUGACUGCCGGUGACAAACCGGAGGAAGGUGGGGAUGACGUCAAAUCAUCAUGCCCCUUAUGAUUUGGGCUACACACGUGCUACAAUGGACAAUACAAAGGGCAGCGAAACCGCGAGGUCAAGCAAAUCCCAUAAAGUUGUUCUCAGUUCGGAUUGUAGUCUGCAACUCGACUACAUGAAGCUGGAAUCGCUAGUAAUCGUAGAUCAGCAUGCUACGGUGAAUACGUUCCCGGGUCUUGUACACACCGCCCGUCACACCACGAGAGUUUGUAACACCCGAAGCCGGUGGAGUAACCUUUUAGGAGCUAGCCGUCGAAGGUGGGACAAAUGAUUGGGGUGAAGUCGUAACAAGGUAGCCGUAUCGGAAGGUGCGGCUGGAUCACCU